CCUACGGGAGGCUGCAGUGGGGAAUAUUGGACAAUGGGGGGAACCCUGAUCCAGCCAUGCCGCGUGUGUGAAGAAGGCCCUCGGGUUGUAAAGCACUUUCAGGGAGGAAGAACGCCUGGUGGUUAAUACCCAUCAGGAAAGACAUCACUCACAGAAGAAGCACCGGCUAACUCCGUGCCAGCAGCCGCGGUAAUACGGAGGGUGCGAGCGUUAAUCGGAAUUACUGGGCGUAAAGCGCGCGUAGGUGGCUUGAUAAGCCGGUUGUGAAAGCCCCGGGCUCAACCUGGGAACGGCAUCCGGAACUGUCAAGCUAGAGUGCAGGAGAGGAAGGUAGAAUUCCGGGUGUAGCGGUGAAAUGCGUAGAGAUCGGGAGGAAUACCAGUGGCGAAGGCGGCCUUCUGGACUGACACUGACACUGAGGUGCGAAAGCGUGGGUAGCAAACAGGAUUAGAUACCCUUGUAGUC
rnacentral:rRNA from 1 species